GAGGAGCUUGCUCCUCGUAUUCAGCGGCGGACGGGUGAGUAAUGCCUAGGAAUCUGCCUAGUAGUGGGGGACAACGUUUCGAAAGGAACGCUAAUACCGCAUACGUCCUACGGGAGAAAGUGGGGGAUCUUCGGACCUCACGCUAUUAGAUGAGCCUAGGUCGGAUUAGCUAGUUGGUAGGGUAAAGGCCUACCAAGGCGACGAUCCGUAACUGGUCUGAGAGGAUGAUCAGUCACACUGGAACUGAGACACGGUCCAGACUCCUACGGGAGGCAGCAGUGGGGAAUAUUGGACAAUGGGCGAAAGCCUGAUCCAGCCAUGCCGCGUGUGU
rnacentral:rRNA from 1 species